ACAGUGGUAACACCAAGGACUGGAGGGGAGAUGGGCACAGAUGCUGUGGCCCAACCCUCGUGAGAUCACAGUGGUAACACCAAGGACAGGGUGGGGGAGAUGGGCACAGGAGCCAUGGCCCAACCCUCAUGAGAUCACAGUGGUAACACCAAGGACAGGGUGGGGGAGAUGGGCACAGGUGCUGUGGCCCAACCCUCGUGAGAUCACAGCGGUAACACCAAGGACGGGGUGGAGGAGAUGGGCACAGGUGCUGCGGCCCGACCCUCCUGAGAAGCGGCGCAGUGUUACGUGAAGGACGGCUGUGUGUGAUGGCUGGUCAAGGAUGAGGAGGUGAGAAAAGUAUGAAAAAAGGACAACCUGCUCCUGUGUGGCGGGCCUCAGAAGAUGGCCAAAGUCUGGAAAUGCAGCUGGGGUCGGAGGUCAAGUCAAAGGUUGCCAUUGGAGGAGCUUAAACUCCUCCCGAAUGUUUCUUUCUCAUGCUGCAGACUUAAUUUUUAUUAACAUGGCAUCUCUGAGAGGCAGGCUGGAGACCUUCUGCUUUACAGAAAGGGUCAUGGAGGGCAGGGUCGCCUUACACACAAGACAUCUGGAAGCGGAACUCACAUCUGUUGAUACCCCAACCAAUGCAGUUCCCAAGGAUCAUCUGUAGAUACACUUCAGGCAGUGGCCUCUCUCUGGUGACAGCACACUUCCUCCACCAGCUUGGAACCUGGCACCACCGUUUCCAGGCUGGCGUUUCUUGAACCUUCCUGUUUGCCUAGGUGCGUAAUUGAGAUGUCACCUUUCCUUCAUUCCUGAUCCACCCUAGGAGACUUUUCGUAGUAGGAUCUUCACACCCUUAUGAAUCUCUCAUCUAAUGCAGUGAGUUAUGAAUUGUA